rnacentral:rRNA from 1 species
UACGUAGGGGGCAAGCGUUGUCCGGAAUCAUUGGGCGUAAAGAGCGCGUAGGCGGUCCGGUAAGUCCGCUCUGAAAGUCCGGGGCUCAACCCCGGGAGGCGGGCGGAUACUGUCGGGCUAGAGUCCGGAAGAGGCAGGCGGAAUUCCGGGUGUAGCGGUGGAAUGCGUAGAGAUCCGGAAGAACACCGGUGGCGAAGGCGGCCUGCUGGGCAGUAGCUGACACUGAGGCGCGACAGCGUGGGGAGCAAACAGG